UACUUAUUCAUAUCAUAAUUUUAUUAUAAAAUUUUAUUAUCCAAUUCUUCAGCCGACGUGUUCCGGCAAACCUACACCGUUUCUCGGCCGAUCAUGUCUUCCGCGUCGCCGCCUCCAUCAACCCCAGCCAAAGACACGAACCUCCCGCAGCUAGAAACUUACGAACACUUUUCAGCCUGUGUGUUCCCUCAAAACUACGUCGUUUCGGGCUCGGUUAUGCCGAGGUACGCGCUAAGCGUACUGUGCGAGAAGAUGGACGGUGUAGGGUUGAGGAAUUACCUUUUUGCCCAUUUCAAGGACCGGAUCAAGGUCCAGGCUGAGCUCCCAGGGGCGCUUCGGUGCGCGCCAGAACCUGGUAAGAUGGUUCUAGAAGCUCUUCAAGGGUUCCACGGUGGUAGUGGGUUUAAUGAUGCGGAAUUGAAGAAGGUGAGGAAAUGUUGCUUGAUGCUGAUGAAGCAGCUGAGGAUCGCGAAUGCGUGGUUGAGCUCGAAGACGAGGGAGAAGGCGUUGGAGGCAGCGAGGGAGUGGAAAGAAAGGUUGGUGGCCAUAGAUAGCGGCAAUACUUUGGUGGCGUUGGGUUUUCUUCACUUGGUUGCAGCAUUUGGUUUGGUUUCUGAGUUUAUUUUGGAUGAGCUUGUGGAUUGCUCGUUGGGUGCUACGAUUCAUGAGGAGUUUCCGGAGCUGUGCCGGAUCACCGGUUUGGCUGAUAGAGUUCCUGAUAUUGUUCAGAAACUGAUAAACAGGGGCAAACAUAUUCUGGCUGUCAAGUAUGUUUUUGAGUUUAAUCUUGUUGAUAAGAUCUCACCGGUUGCCAUUUUGAAAGAUUGUGUUGAGGAGUCUAAGGAACUUUCCAAAAGACUUACAGAGGAGGGAAAGACUCUGAUUGAGACUACAGCUAGAGAAAUUCAUGCACUGAAGUCUGUUAUUAAGACUAUUGAGUAUCAUAAACUCGAAUCUGAAUAUCCGCGAGCUAUAGUUGAUCAGCGUAUAGAGGAAGUGAGGAGGCACAAGUCAAUGAUAAAGAAGAAGUUAAAAAUGAAGCCAAUGAUAAAGAAGAAGUUAAAAAUGAAGCGCAGCGCAUGUGCACAGGCUUCUACUGCAAAGCUUCUGCUGCAUCAACAACAACAUCAGCCGCAGCAGCCACAGAGAAAGAUGCAGAUGCAGAGACAGCAGCAAAGCGAAUUUAAGCGGCCUCGAACUCAAACACCGAAUGCAGUUGGUCAUUCGGCUAUCCAGAAAAAUAAUGUUAAUGAAUGUGAUUCAACAAUGCACCAAUACCAGUACUGUUGUGAAGAACCUCUUGUUCAUCCAUCAGUAUGUUUAUUUCAAGAACAUCUAAAUCCUUACAUGAAUUCAACAGCUGUGCAAUUUGGCAUGGUAGAUCUUUCAGGUGGGCCUUAUGGUAAUAUUCAAUAUUACCAACCUUAUUACUCUCUUCAAUGGUAAAUCACUUGUCAAUUUUGAAUAAACUACUAUUGCUACCCACGAAAGUUGAAAACACUAACAUAUAUACCCAUAGAAAAAGGAAAUUACCAUUUGUACCCAUAAAACAUGGGUUUUGUAUAACAUAAUCAUCCAAACACUAAAAAAUCAGCUGAAAACCCCAAAUUACCCUUAUCAUCACCACUACUACCAUCAUGCCCCCUCUCUCUCUCUUCGCAUUCCCUUUUUUAUUUUUCUCAUUCCCACCCCUCUUCACAAUGGACUUCCGCCACCGACCUCCCCCAACGCUAUCGCAACGGCCAAGAGACUCACAAUCACAACCACUACACUUUCCCCUCCACCUCCUAAGGCCUCCGAUGCCCUCCCACUCCCGAUCUACUUCGCCGAGAAGCAAACCCCAUCUCUGCCUCCAAAAACCUUGUACUUGCUGGACUCCUUGAAGCACUGUUGCGCGACCACCAUCAGCUAUAGCGACUUCAAUUCACCAACCAUCAGCAUUGCCACGCGACAUCCAUCAGCCACAACGAGCCGACGUUGCAGAGCGCGAGGACGCAGUCUCUGAAGGGGACUGGACUCUGUGGCUUCGCAAGAAGAUUGGAGGAGAAUUUUAUCCACUGGUGGUUGUUGUCGUCGUGACUUUAAUACCCAGUUCUGCAAUGGUACCCUUCAAACCUUCAUCUCUUCUCUCAUUUUUUGUUGCCCCCUUCAUCAUUGUUGUUGGUGUUGUUGGAGAAUGUGGAAAGGAGCAGAGACGAAAUGUUGGACUUGCACCCGGAUUGAAUUUGUGGCGUUGGAUCCGUUUCUUCUGCAAUGAUGUGGUUGCGAUGGCUCAAUUGGUUUUUGGUUCUUCUCCAUUUGAUGUGUUCUGCUACUGUUGUUGGUGCCUCUGUUGUAACAACACGCAUGUUUCAGAGAAUAAUGUGAUGAACUGAUGAUGUAGAUGAUGACAAGGGUAAUUUGAGAUUUUUAGAGUCUCAUAUCAGAAAUCCAUUCCAUUCUAAAUCAGUAUUGGUGGGGAGAACAUGGUAAUGAGAGGCGUAUGGCAUGGGUGAGCUGGGAUACUGUGACUAGACCAAAGGCUGAAGGACAGCUGGGGCUCAAAGAUCUCAAAGGAGUCAAUUGGCAGGUAGGCCCCGAAACCACAAUCAGCAUUCUUCACUAACCAUGGCUCCCUUUCACAUUGGCCAGGAGCAAGCU